GCGAAGUUCGUCCGCGGGACUCGGAAUGGCACCAUACUUGGCGGGCGGCCUCUGUGUGCCAAAAAUAGGCCACGGGCACAGCCGCGCCCAAAAAUCAGCCCCCGAAGGUCGGGGUCCCAAGACCCCCCAGCGGAAAAAUGGCCAAAAAACGGGUGGGCAAUAGCCUUGGUGGGCGGCGUGGGCGAAGUUCGUCUGCGGGACUCGGAAUGGCACCAUACUUGGCGGGCGGCCUCUGUGUGCCAAAAAUAGGCCACGAGCACAGCCGCGCCCAAAAAUCAGCCCCCGAAGGUCGGGGUCCCAAGACCACCCAGCGGAAAAAUGGCCAAAAAACGGGUGGGCUAUAGCCUUGGUGGGGGGCGUGGGCGAACUUCGUCCGUGGGACUUGGAAUGGCCCCUGACUUGGCGGGCGGCCUCCAUGUGCCAAAAAUAGGCCACAGGCACAGCCGCGCCCAAAAAUCAGCCCCCGAAGGUCGGGGUCCCAAGACCCCCCAGUGGAAAAAUGGCCAAAAAACGGGUGGGCUAUAGCCUUGGUGGGGGGCGUGGGCGAAGUUCGUCCGCGGGACUCGGAAUGGCACCAUACUUGGCGGGCGGUCACUGUGUUCCAAAAAUAGGCCACGGGCACAGCCGCGCCCAAAAAUCAGCCCCCGAAGGUCGGGGUCCCAAGACCCCCCAGCGGAAAAAUGGCCAAAAAACGGGUGGGCUAUAGCCUUGGUGGGGGGCGUGGGCGAAGUUCGUUCGCGGGACUCGGAAUGGCACCAUACUUGGCGGGCGGCCUCUGUGUGCCAAAAAUAGGCCACGGGCACAGCCGCGCCCAAAAAUCAGCCCCCGAAGGUCGGGGUCCCAAGACCCCCCAGUGGAAAAAUGGCCAAAAAACGGGUGGGCUAUAGCCUUGGUGGGGGGCGUGGGCGAACUUCGUCCGCGGGACUCGGAAUGGCCCCUGACUUGGCGGGCGGCCUCCGUGUGCCAAAAAUAGGCCACGGGCACAGCCGCGCCCAAAAAUCAGCCCCCGAAGGUCGGGGUCCCAAGACCCCCCAGCGGAAAAAUGGCCAAAAAACGGGUGGGCUAUAGCCUGGAGGGCGGCGUGGGCGAAGGUCGUCUGCGGACUUCGGAAUGUCACCAUACUUGGCGGGCGGCCUCUGUGUGCCAAAAAUAGGUCACGGGCACAGCCGCGCCCAAAAAUCAGCCCCCGAAGGUCGGGGUCCCAAGACCCCCCAGUGGAAAAAUGGCCAAAAAACGGGUGGGCUAUAGCCUUGGUGGGGGGCGUGGGCGAACUUCGUCCGCGGGACUCGGAAUGGCCCCUGACUUGGCGGGCGGCCUCCGUGUGCCAAAAAUAGGCCACGGGCACAGCCGCGCCCAAAAAUCAGCCCCCGAAGGUCGGGGUCCCAAGACCCCCCAGCGGAAAAAUGGCCAAAAAACGGGUGGGCUAUAGCCUUGGUGGGCGGCGUGGGCGAAGUUCGUCCGCGGGACUCGGAAUGGCACCAUACUUGGCGGGCGGCCUCCGUGUGCCAAAAAUAUGUCACGGGCACAGCCGCGCCCAAAAAUCAGCCCCCGAAGGUCGGGGUCCCAAGACCCCCCAGCGGAAAAAUGGUCAAAAAACGGGUGGGCUAUAGCCUUGGUGGGGGGCGUGGGCGAACUUCGUCCGCGGGUCUCGGAAUGGCCCCUGACUUGGCGGGCGUCCUCCGUGUGCCAAAAAUAGGCCACGGGCACAGCCGCGCCCAAAAAUCAGCCCCCGAAGGUCGGGGUCCCAAGACCCCCCAGUGGAAAAAUGGCCAAAAAACGGAUGGGCUAUAGCCUUGGUGGGGGGCGUGGGCGAACUUUGUCCGCGGGACUCGGAAUGGCCCCUGACUUGGCGGGCGGCCUCCGUGUGCCAAAAAUAGGCCACGGGCACAGCCCCGCCCAAAAAUCAGCCCCCGAAGGUCGGGGUCACAAGACCCCCCAGCGGAAAAAUGGCCAAAAAACGGGUGGGCUAUAGCCUUGGUGGGCGGGGUGGGCGAAGUUCGUCCGCGGGACUCGGAAUGGCACCAUACUUGGCGGGCGGCCUCUGCGUGCCAAAAAUAGGCCACGGGCACAGCCGCGCCCAAAAAUCAGCCCCCGAAGGUCGGGGUCCCAAGACCCCCCAGCGGAAAAAUGGUCAAAAAACGGGUGGGCUAUAGCCUUGGUGGGCGGCGUGGGCGAAGUUCGUCCGCGGGACUCGGAAUGGCACCAUACUUGGCGGGCGGCCUCUGUGUGCCAAAAAUAGGCCAUGGCACAGCCG
rnacentral:lncRNA from 1 species